rnacentral:rRNA from 1 species
UUCCCCUUUGCUUUGCUUUCACGUCAUUCUCCAGAGGGGGCAGACAAGCAACGCAAGAGACCUCCCGAUCCCCUGCCCGCAGUCUCCGCUCCCCGGUUUCCCCCUUCUCCAUUUAUUAGGGGCACGUUCACUUGUUGAUCCAGCUACUUCACCUUGCUAGCUGGGGAUCGGCGUCUCCCCUCCUCGCCGCUCAAGUUUCCAAGCGCCUGGCUCGAAUCUACUUCACGUGGGUGGGGCUCGCUCAUCCCACCUCCGCUUCUUGCCGCCGAUCCAGAUCCUUGACAUGCGAGACUGAUGGCGGCGGCAGAAGCGAGAGCUGCUUGGCAACGGGCCGCCAACCGCUGCCUAUUUCAGGAGGAUGCAAAGAGGGCUCCGAAACUGGCCUGCUGUCCACCGUCGAUGCAACAGCAUGAAGCAAACAGCGGGAACCCCACCAGUCCGCGAGACUGCCACAUCCCAAACUUCAUGCAUCUGAACUGGAACCCGAUGAACUCCAAUCAGCCGAUAGAUGCGUGGUUUCUUCAGCUGCAGCCCAAUUUCGGGUGCCACAAGGUGCUUUCUGGUGACCAUCUGAAUUACAUGGGCGGAGAAGCCAAUGUGAAGAAAGUGGACAGUUUCUCGCCCGUCUCUACGCUUGACGACAUCAACACGAAGAAGAGCGAGUGCCCUUCUGAGCCGCCAUGGAUGGUCUCAACAGCUUUUAUGAAGCAAACAUCUGAAGCACCUUGCGAAGGGUGCCCUCAAACGAGUCUCAAGUGCAGAGGAAAUUCCAAUAACUUCCUUCACGAGGAUAAAGAGGUUAUGGACUUCAAUACUUUUGACCCUUUGUUUCCGAAGAAACCAAAGAAGGCAUGCUAUGAGAUGGAUCCACCUUGGGAACAAGACAGGAAGUCUCAGCCCUGGUGGCAAGUAGCUGACGAGGAAGGAUUGGCUUCGCUUGUUGCAGAAAGAGCAAUGCAGCACAUUGAGAACAACGAUCUGCCAAAACCCACUCAGAUAGUGCGUAUUCAUGGGGCAAAAUUGAACGGCCAUGAAAGCAAGGAUGGCUGUGGGAAAUCAUCAUCUUCUUCUGGUAAAGAGUCGCAGCCUCAACUACACGACACUAUGAUGUGCAGCUAUAGCCUCUCAAGCACCAAUGAGAUGAAUUCAUCUGACGGUGGAGGCUGGCAACAGUCUCACAAAAAUGAUGCGCAUGGGGGCACGCAGGAUUCAUAUAGUAGUGGUGAUCACACACCAGGCAGCAAGCCCACAUAUCAGAAUCAGAAAGACGCCGAGAGGGCCCAGCUACUGGACGCUCUUCGCCAUUCGCAGACACGGGCUAGGGAAGCCGAGGUGGCUGCCAAGAAUGCUCAUGAUGAGAAAGACCAUGUCGUCAAGCUAUUGUUUCGUCAGGCCUCGCACCUCUUUGCGUGUAAGCAGUGGCUGAAAAUGCUGCAGCUGGAGAACAUAUGCCUCCAGCUCAGGUUGAAAGAGCAUCAGAUAGCAGCCAUGUUCCCGGAGCUUCCCUGGACGGUGAUGAAGGAGGAGAAGGUGGACCCAGAAGGGGAGCGAAAAGGCAGGGCAAAGAAGAAAGGCAGGAGGCAGAACAAGGAAGGUGGCUUCUGCAAGGCCAUCAUGUUUGCAGUUGGCGUAGGCAUCGUUGGUGCAGGAUUGCUCCUUGGCUGGACCUUUGGGUGGCUGCUGCCCAGGAGGAUGAAAUGAUGGAAUUCUUAGAACCACUUGUAUUUGGAAGCCUUGCUGGUGAUAUCUCUCCACGGUCCACGCCACGCCUUUGUGUAUAUAUAGGAAGGGUUUUAGUGUACAUAUUUGCCAGAGAUGGGUAUUUCUGGCACACCUGUUGGUUCCAUGGGUGAUGGGUUGAAGGUGUAAAUAGUGUGCCUGAGUGGUGGUGGAACUCCAAAAUCAGUCGACUUGAACGGUGUGUAAGCCUGUACUGUAAGUAUGUCUGUUUAGACAAUGUGUACUGCAAGCAUAUGUAACUUUGUUGUAUUCUUGAUGUAAGAGGAGUUGUAUUAGUCGCUGGUUGGUAGCAACUACAUGUAAACCUGGGCUGUAAGCCUAUAACUUGGUUCUUUGUUUAAUGUAUGUAAGAGAAGUUGUAUUACUCAGCUUGGUGUUGACUAACUGAGCAC